GGGACACCUUCCACUAGACCAAGGUGCCCAAAGCCCCAUCCAACCUGGCCUUGAACACUUCCAGGGAUGGGGUACCAAACUUCUCCGGCCAUUCUGUGCCUGGAACAGACACUGAUCUAGCAGAAAGUGAUGCAAAUCUGCUGAUUCCAUAAACCUGAGAUUUUAUCUGAAAGAAUGCAACACAGGGGCACAACUGAAACACCAAGUAACCACUGCCCCAGACCACCCACUCCAGCUUUCCUUACAGGCUUCCACGGAAGACUUCCUCUACCAAGUUCAGAAAAAGACAAAAGAAACCAUUACAGAAGUGGAGUGAGCUCCUGCCUAUAGAGUGUCUGUCUUUGGCUGCAGUAUGUGGACAAGACAAAGGCUCCUGAAGUGUUUGUUUUAUCCAGACUGACUUGGAAGGAGGAAAUUGUAACCACAGCCAUUCAUUUAUAUUAAAAAAAAAUACCCUAUUGAAGCAUAAUCAUAUUCAUCAGAACGUGAAUGACCAUACCACUCACAGGUUUUAUGUUCUUAAACUACACAAAAAUUACCAUGUUUCUGCCUGCUUUCAACAUAGGACAUGAGGAGAAGAAAGAAUUCAGAUAUUAUACCAUUUCUAGACCCAAAGUAAAACUCUGGCUUUCACAAAUAAGCAUUUCUGCAAAAUGAGUUGAGAUGCAUCUGACAGGAAAGGUUUAAGAGCACUUUCAAGUUGGAAAGCAGAUUAUCACCAACUAUAAAACUAAGUUUGAGCUCAGUAAAUAACAACUUACGUUGCACAAACAGAACUUGAGUUACUACACACAAAGGGCAUUUCGGACCGCUUCCCACAGUCAGCCUGUGGCUGUCAAUGUGCUGCCUGGAGCUAAUGGAUUUUCCCUGCUGCCAGCAAGCGACCUCACAGCACCAAGCCUGCUCGUGUGUACUCAGCACAGCAAUUUGGUUCCAAGGAAUGUUCAAUUUUUUAUCCUCCCAGGAUAUUCCUGUGGAAGAACAUGAAAAUGUAGUUCAAGGAUGAUAGAAAAAUUGGUCAGAAAAUGAGAGAGUGAUCUUUGUGGCUAAGUCUCCUUCUGGAAAGAAGAGUGUCAUGCCUCCUGAACAUUCUGACCUAAGAGAGGAGAGUGAAAUGCUGGAUUGCCAAAGAGCUGGAACUUCUGAAGAUGGAGGUUCAAAUUAUUCAUGGGUACACCGCAUGACUCAUGUGCAAAGUUCUCUGGUGGAUGAGCAACUACAAGUAUGUGAUGGGAGAGCAAUGAAAAUUUACACACACACAGGGAGCAUUUGUGGAUUACUCUGAGCUCAGACAAGUGUUGCAUUCUCUCACUGUGGUAACUGAGCACAUGGCAAAACUAUAUUCUGUUCUUAGCCAUCAGGAAGAUGAUGACAAUACCUAAUUAGUGAAGCUUAAAGCAAAAAAUAUCUCCUAUUCAGCGUCACUGUGUGAGCCGGUCAGGAGCUGCUCUACUACAUGAAGACAGAGAUUUUAACAAGUACUUAUUCAGAGUGCAGAAAAGAACAGUUCCAGCUUUCAAUUGUGGCUCUUCAGGAACUGUCUUCUUUCUCAUUGUUGAAAAUACCAUUGAUAGAGAUCCACAGUCCUCUGACACAGAUUCCUGCAGUCUCUCUAGCCUACUCUCUAUUUUGGGUGCUUAAGGACACAUUUGAAGCUAGUGGUCUAGAAAGAUCUUGUGAUGGCAUAAGCCUACACAUAUAUUGCCUAAAUAUUACUAACAAUUGUAUGUAUGUACAGAUUCUUGAUCCUUUUGAUGAAGAAGUAAACAGGGUUCUCAAGCUGUAUUCAUGCUGACUCCUGAUUUGUCUUUUUUUUUUUUGUCAGGCAAUAAAGAAAGAAAUUGCAGCCCACAGUUGUCUGUGAUACUUGACUUGACAUACACGAAUGAUGUACAGCUCCCACAUAGAUAAAUUAUGUUUAACAUAUCUCAGUAAUUGUAGCAGCCACAGAAAAAAAGAACAGAAGAAAGAAACUUCUUUCAGUACAUCAACUGAAACCAGGCAUAAUGCAACGCUGAGCCAGCAACACUUGGUGAAAACAACUAUAAGCCAGAUUACAACAAAGAGGAGAAAUAGGACAUUUCUUAUAUGGCACCCACUUCCAUCAAGAAAUAAAAGGAGACAAUACUAAUGAAAGCAGACUACCUUGUUUGACAAGUAUUUAAUGCCUCCAUUCACAACAUUGUCCCUAAAGGAAGAAUCAGGCAUGGCCAUCUGAGGGAGAGCUGUUCCCUGAAGGAUAUAAAGGAGACACAGAUUGCCUAUUUAAGCAGCCUCCUGUCAUUUGCAAUUCGAAAUGCUGCUUUACUUUCUGAGGUCACUCAAAACUCUUUUUGUGACUGAAGUCACAACCUGAAUUUAUUUAUUCCAUAUCCUGUUUACUAAUUUACCAGUAAGUCCUCCUUACCAUGCUAACCAAUCACUGCAUCACAUGGCUUCUUUCUACACAAGAACAAAUCAGCUCAUCCACUGAUGCCUUUGUGAACACACUGUCAAGAUUUGUUCUACUUCAACACCACAGCAAAGCACUGGCCUUGUGGCCUAGAAGGAAGAUAUCACUGUAGCAACUUGAGGUGCUGGUGAUACUGCAUGGUUUCCCUUCUCUUCCCCUUUACUGUACUGCACUCCUGCCAAAAGUUAACUUUACAGGAGAGUGAUUCCUUUUGAGAAGACAGACAGGGCUGCCUCAAUUAUCCUGACUCAGCACGUUUGGAACAAAACAAGGACCAACUGCAGAAAGAGACAUUUGUAAUGCUUGCUCCAGAACACAAAAUAAACAGAGCGAGUGCGCAGCUGGCCUGGUGGCAGCUACAGAGCCUAAGCCUUUGCUCGUCGUUUGGCAGGAAGAGCUGCAGUGCCUGCGUAG